rnacentral:snRNA from 1 species
GAAAAUGUAAACAUGAUG